GAGUUUGAUCUUGGCUCAGAGUGAACGCUGGCGGCAGGCCUAACACAUGCAAGUCGAGCGGCAGCGCGGGGCAACCUGGCGGCGAGCGGCGGACGGGUGAGGAAUGCAUCGGAAUCUACCCUGUCGUGGGGGAUAACGUAGGGAAACUUACGCUAAUACCGCAUACGACCGAGAGGUGAAAGUGGGGGACCGCAAGGCCUCACGCGAUUGGAUGAGCCGAUGCCGGAUUAGCUAGUUGGUGAGGUAAAGGCUCACCAAGGCGACGAUCCGUAGCUGGUCUGGAGGAUGAUCAGCCACACUGGGACUGAGACACGGCCCAGACUCCUACGGGAGGCAGCAGUGGGGAAUAUUGGACAAUGGGCGCAAGCCUGAUCCAGCCAUGCCGCGUGUGUGAAGAAGGCCUUCGGUUGUAAG
rnacentral:rRNA from 1 species